AGUGAACGCUGGCGGUAGGCCUAACACAUGCAAGUCGAACGGCAGCACAGUAAGAGCUUGCUCUUACGGGUGGCGAGUGGCGGACGGGUGAGGAAUACAUCGGAAUCUACUUUUUCGUGGGGGAUAACGUAGGGAAACUUACGCUAAUACCGCAUACGACCUACGGGUGAAAGCAGGUGAUCUUCGGACCUUGCGCGAUUGAAUGAGCCGAUGUCGGAUUAUCUAGUUGGCGGGGUAAAGGCCCACCAAGGCGACGAUCCGUAGCUGGUCUGAGAGGAUGAUCAGCAAAACUGGAACUGAGAAACGGUCCAGACUCCUACGGGAGGCAGCAGUGGGGAAUAUUGGAAAAUGGGCGCAAGCCUGAUCCAGCCAGACCGCGUGGGUGAAGAAGGCCUUCGGGUUGUAAAGCCCUUUUGUUGGGAAAGAAAAGCAGCAGGUUAAUAACCCGCUGUUCUGACGGUACCCAAAGAAUAAGCACCGGCUAACUUCGUG
rnacentral:rRNA from 1 species